AGCAGCCGCGGUAAUUCCAGCUCCAAUAGCGUAUAUUAAAGUUGCUGCAGUUAAAAAGCUCGUAGUUGAAUUUCGGGACCAUCAUGUCGGUCGUGCCUCGGUACGUACUGGCAUUGUUGGUUUCUACCUUCUGACGAACCAUGAUGUCAUUUAUUUGGUGUCGUGGGAAAUCAGGACUGUUACUUUGAAAAAAUUAGAGUGUUUAAAGCAGGCUCACGCUUGAAUACAUUAGCAUGAAAUAAUGAAAUAGGAUGUUUGAUUCUAUUUUGUUGGUUUUUAGGAUCGACGUAAUGAUUAAUAGGGAUAGUUGGGGGCAUUAGUAUUCAAUUGUCAGAGGUGAAAUUCUUGGAUUUAUUGAAGACUAACUACUGCAAAAGCAUUUGCCAAGGAUGUUUUCAUUAAUCAAGAACGAAAGUUAGGGAUCGAAGACGAUCAGAUACCGUCGUAGUCUUAACCAUAAACUAUGCCGACUAGGGGAUCGGAUGAUGUUAAUUUUUUAAUGACUCAUUCGGCGCCUUAU
rnacentral:rRNA from 1 species